rnacentral:rRNA from 1 species
UACGUAGGGUGCAAGCGUUGUCCGGAAUUAUUGGGCGUAAAGAGCUCGUAGGUGGCCUGUCGCGUCGGCUGUGAAACCUCGGGGCUCAACUCCGAGCUUGCAGUCGAUACGGGCAGGCUAGAGUUCGGCAGGGGAGACUGGAAUUCCUGGUGUAGCGGUGAAAUGCGCAGAUAUCAGGAGGAACACCGGUGGCGAAGGCGGGUCUCUGGGCCGAUACUGACACUGAGGAGCGAAAGCGUGGGGAGCGAACAGG